rnacentral:rRNA from 1 species
UACAGAGGUCUCAAGCGUUGUUCGGAUUCAUUAGGCGUAAAGGGUGUGUAGGUGGCGCCGUAAGUCGGGUGUGAAAUUUCGGAGCUUAACUCCGAAACUGCAUUCGAUACUGCGGUGCUUGAGGACUGGAGAGGAGACUGGAAUUCAUGGUGUAGCAGUGAAAUGCGUAGAGAUCAUGAGGAAGACCAGUGGCGAAGGCGGGUCUCUGGACAGUUCCUGACACUGAGACACGAAGGCCAGGGGAGCAAACGGG